rnacentral:rRNA from 1 species
UACGUAGGGUGCAAGCGUUAAUCGGAAUUACUGGGCGUAAAGCGUGCGCAGGCGGUUUCGUAAGUCUGUCGUGAAAUCCCCGGGCUUAACCUGGGAAUGGCGAUGGAGACUGCGAGGCUAGAGUUUGGCAGAGGGGGGUAGAAUUCCACAUGUAGCAGUGAAAUGCGUAGAGAUGUGGAGGAACACCGAUGGCGAAGGCAGCCCCCUGGGUCAAAACUGACGCUCAUGCACGAAAGCAUGGGGAGCAAACAGG